AACUUUAUAUUCAAUUAUGAUAUUAAAUUGCAAAUUUAAAGGUAAAUUUUUAUUUUAAAGUUU
rnacentral:tRNA from 2 species